AGAAUCAACGCUGGCGGCGUGCCUAACACAUGCAAGUCGAACGAGAAAGGGACUUCGGUUCUGAGUACAGUGGCGCACGGGUGAGUAACACGUGACUAACCUACCCUUGAGUGGGGAAUAACUUCGAGAAAUCGAGGCUAAUACCGCAUAAUACCUACGGGUCAAAGGAGCAAUUCGCUUAAGGAGGGGGUCGCGGCAGAUUAGCUAGUUGGCGGGGUAAUGGCCCACCAAGGCAGUGAUCUGUA
rnacentral:rRNA from 1 species